rnacentral:lncRNA from 1 species
CUUCUGUGUUGGUGGUCAGCUGGGGGUGUCAUGCAGCCUCUCUGAAAGCUUAGUAAGGUAGGUGACAUUAGUAAGGUAGGUGACAUUAGACGCAGAACGGGAUGGUUAGGAUUUGGCCAGGGGAAGCGAACGGUCCCUUGCACGGGGCCGGGGUACAUGUCGCUACAGCUGUGCAUGGAGUGGGAAGGGCAGUGAGCUGAGGCUGGAUCAACAGCAGAGCCCAGGGGCAAAGAGCUGUGGGAAAACUGCCAGGACAUGGGAGCCGAGGGAGGUGUUGGUGAUCAGAGAGGUUUGCUUCUAAGGAGAGAUGGACCAUAGGCUGCAGGUGGGACGUCACUGUCACGCCCCCCUCCCCCCAAGUCCAUGUAUAUGGACUUUGGUUUGGACUUUGGUAUGGUUUGGUUUCCAGCAAGGUAUGUCUGGGAGGUAAUGGCACUUUUAAGAGGCAGGGCCUUGUGGGGGUGGUGUUUAGGUCUUUGGGGUGUAGCUUUGAAGGGAAUAGAGGGAACUACUACCUUUCCUUUUCUCUCUUUUUGUUAUUAUCCCAGAGAUGGGAGCCUCUGCAUUACUACACACUCCUGCCAGGAAGUGCUACCACACUGUAGGUCCCAAAGCCACGGAGCCACGGAGACAAAUGACCAUGGCCUGAACGCAGCAACAUGGCUCUGCUAACUCCAAAGGAUUCUGGGAAAUGUAGUUCCGCUGUAGGACCAAGAGGAACCUCUAGAGACCUUUUUUUCUUUGAACUCUGUUAUGUAGCCAGGACUUCUUGCCUAGGGAUGGCACCGCCCACAGUGGACUGGGACCUCCUACAUCAAUCAGCAGUUAAAGAAAACGCCUCACAGACGUGACCACAGGCCAGUGUGAUGGAGACCUGUUCUCUAACAGCGCCCGGCCUGCCCUCCAGUGCCCAGAUAACCACUGGAUGGAGGAGGGAACAGGUGAGCCUCCUGUGCAUCCUGGCCGAGUGUCUCUCGGAGCAAUGUGUAGCCUCGAUCCUUUCUGCCCUGAAGACUCAGGGAACCAUUUGCC